CGUGAUGUUGGACAGAAGCCAUAGCACUGUACUGCUCGUGCAUGAGCCUGAAUCUGCCAGCCAGGACCAUCACUCUGAGUCUGGACAAGCAACACUUUGUCAAGCCUGAUACAACAAUUCUGCAACGUCUCAGACUGGCCUGUAAAACUGAGUGCUGU
rnacentral:lncRNA from 12 species